rnacentral:rRNA from 1 species
UUGACCGUGCAAAGGUAGCGCAAUCACUUGUCUUUUAAAUAGAGACCUGUAUGAACGGCCAAACGAGGGCUUAACUGUCUCCCCUUUCCAGUCAGUGAAAUUGAUCUGCCCGUGCAGAAGCGGGCAUAAUAAUACAAGACGAGAAGACCCUUUGGAGCUUAAGGUACAAAACUCAACCACGUAAAGCAACUCAACAAAAAGCAAAAACCCCGUGAAAAAUGAAAUUUUACCUUCGGUUGGGGCGACCACGGAGGAAAAAAAAGCCUCCAAGUGGACCGGGACAAAAUCCCUAAAACCAAGAGAGACAUCUCUAAGCCACAGAAUAUCUGACCAAACAUGAUCCGGCUAAUAAAACCGAUCAACGAACCAAGUUACCCUAGGGAUAACAGCGCAAUCCUCUCCCAGAGUCCAUAUCGACGAGGGGGUUUACGACCUCGAUGUUGGAUCAGGACAUCCUAAUGGUGCAGUCC